GAUGAACGCUGGCGGCGUGCCUAAUACAUGCAAGUCGAGCGAACGGACGAGAAGCUUGCUUCUCUGAUGUUAGCGGCGGACGGGUGAGUAACACGUGGAUAACCUACCUAUAAGACUGGGAUAACUUCGGGAAACCGGAGCUAAUACCGGAUAAUAUUUUGAACCGCAUGGUUCAAAAGUGAAAGACGGUCUUGCUGUCACUUAUAGAUGGAUCCGCGCUGCAUUAGCUAGUUGGUAAGGUAACGGCUUACCAAGGCAACGAUGCAUAGCCGACCUGAGAGGGUGAUCGGCCACACUGGAACUGAGACACGGUCCAGACUCCUACGGGAGGCAGCAGUAGGGAAUCUUCCGCAAUGGGCGAAAGCCUGACGGAGCAACGCCGCGUGAGUGAUGAAGGUCUUCGGAUCGUAAAACUCUGUUAUUAGGGAAGAACAUAUGUGCAAGUAACUGUGCACAUCUUGGCGGUACCUAAUCAGAAAGCCACGGCUAACUACGUG
rnacentral:rRNA from 1 species